rnacentral:rRNA from 1 species
UACGAAGGGGGCUAGCGUUGCUCGGAAUCACUGGGCGUAAAGGGUGCGUAGGCGGGUCUUUAAGUCAGGGGUGAAAUCCUGGAGCUCAACUCCAGAACUGCCUUUGAUACUGAAGAUCUUGAGUCCGGGAGAGGUGAGUGGAACUGCGAGUGUAGAGGUGAAAUUCGUAGAUAUUCGCAAGAACCCCAGUGGCGAAGUCGGCUCACUGGCCCGGUACUGACGCUGAGGCACGAAAGCGUGGGGAGCAAACAGG